rnacentral:tRNA from 1 species
AGGUCAGUAGUUCAAUUGGUAGAGCGUCGGUCUCCAAAAACCGAAUGUUGGGGGUUCGAGUCCCUCCCUGACCUGCCA